UUUAUUUCUAUUUAAAAUGUCAAAAAUUUCAUUAUUUGACUGCACUUAAUCUUUAUUUGCAUUUAAAAAACACAACUCUGGUAGCUGGAAGAAGAAUGAAUUGGAAGUGGAACACACUGGGGGCACAGAGACCAAUAAGUUACAAGGGAACUACAGAAAUCCAAGAGAGAGAAGAUAAAGCCCUAAACCAAGCUAGUAAUAGUAGAGAUAAAAAGGAGAGGAUAUGGAGGAGCAUACAAGGAACAAAAAUUUAUAUGAGACUUCUGAAAGCCUAAGUUUUAAAAUCACACUGAAGAAAGAACAUAUGAUGUCCAAUAGGGUAGCCCUACCAACAUAAAACACUGUGGACCUUGCAGGAAGCCAAUUAAUAAAAUGGAGUAUUCAGUGAUAACUAGGAAAAGAAACUUUUGAAAACAUCUUGGAAUUUACUAAAAAGCCCUGAAAAAUAAUUGGAUGUACUCCUCAUUUACUUGCACCAAAUUUGCUCUGUUAACAAAGCUAAUUGCUCAGGAUGGAUUAUAGCAGCCUGAAUUAGGUGUGUGUGACAUGGUAUUUGUGUAUUAGUGUACGAUGAUGUACAUGUGUAAAACGUUGGUUGAACAAUAUGUAUCCAAUGACACUGUGACCACACCUCCCUCUAAGAUUUUGCAUAAAUAAAAAUUACAUUAGUUUUUGUUAUUGUAUCUGAUGCAACAAAAUACAUGGAAGUUAGGGGAGUAGAAAGAUCAGAAUGAAGGAGCAAUAUAAGGUCUUCUGCCU
rnacentral:lncRNA from 10 species